AAUUUUGGACAAUGGGCGCAAGCCUGAUCCAGCAAUGCCGCGUGCAGGAUGAAGGCCUUCGGGUUGUAAACUGCUUUUGUACGGAACGAAACGGCCUUUUCUAAUACAAGGGGCUAAUGACGGUACCGUAAGAAUAAGCACCGGCUAACUACGUGCCAGCAGCCGCGGUAAUACGUAGGGUGCGAGCGUUAAUCGGAAUUACUGGGCGUAAAGCGUGCGCAGGCGGUUAUAUAAGACAGGUGUGAAAUCCCCGGGCUUAACCUGGGAAUUGCAUUUGUGACUGUAUAGCUGGAGUACGGCAGAGGGGGAUGGAAUUCCGCGUGUAGCAGUGAAAUGCGUAGAUAUGCGGAGGAACACCGAUGGCGAAGGCAAUCCCCUGGGCCUGUACUGACGCUCAUGCACGAAAGCGUGGGGAGCAAACAGGAUUAGAUACCCUGGUAGUCCACGCCCUAAACGAUGUCAACUGGUUGUUGGGUCUUCACUGACUCAGUAACGAAGCUAACGCGUGAAGUUGACCGCCUGGGGAGUACG
rnacentral:rRNA from 1 species